rnacentral:rRNA from 1 species
UUGGGAAUAUUGGACAAUGGAGGAAACUCUGAUCCAGUGACGCCGCGUGAAGGAAGAAGGUCUUCGGAUUGUAAACUUAUUUUGUCAGGGAAGAAACAAAUGACUGUACCUGAAGAAAAAGCACCGGCUAACUACGUGCCAGCAGCCGCGGUAAUACGUAGGGUGCAAGCGUUAUCCGGAUUUACUGGGUGUAAAGGGCGAGUAGACGGCGUUGCAAGUCAGAUGUGAAAACCUAGGGCUUAACCUUAGGACUGCAUCUGAAACUGUAAUGCUAGAGUGCAGGAGAGGUAAGCGGAAUUCCUAGUGUAGCGGUGAAAUGCGUAGAUAUUAGGAAGAACACCAGUGGCGAAGGCGGCUUACUGGACUGUAACUGACGUUGAGGCGCGAAAGCGUGGGGAGCAAACA